rnacentral:rRNA from 1 species
UACGUAGGGUGCGAGCGUUGUCCGGAAUUAUUGGGCGUAAAGAGCUUGUAGGCGGUUUGUCGCGUCUGCUGUGAAAAUCCGGGGCUCAACCCCGGACUUGCAGUGGGUACGGGCAGACUAGAGUGUGGUAGGGGAGACUGGAAUUCCUGGUGUAGCGGUGAAAUGCGCAGAUAUCAGGAGGAACACCGAUGGCGAAGGCAGGUCUCUGGGCAACUACUGACGCUGAGAAGCGAAAGCAUGGGGAGCGAACAGG